AGCGAAAUAGUGUCAAUUGGUAAAAUACUAGCCUCAUGAGCUAGGGUUAUAGGUUCGAGUCCUGUUUUCGCUU